GAUGAACGCUGGCGGCGUGCCUAAUACAUGCAAGUCGAGCGAACAGACGAGGAGCUUGCUCCUCUGACGUUAGCGGCGGACGGGUGAGUAACACGUGGAUAACCUACCUAUAAGAAUGGGAUAACUUCGGGAAACCGGAGCUAAUACCGGAUCAUAUAUUGAACCGCAUGGUUCAAUAGUGAAAGCCGGUUUUGCUGUCACUUAUAGAUGGAUCCGCGCCGCAUUAGCUAGUUGGUAAGGUAACGGCUUACCAAGGCAACGAUGCGUAGCCGACCUGAGAGGGUGAUCGGCCACACUGGAACUGAGACACGGUCCAGACUCCUACGGGAGGCAGCAGUGGGGAAUCUUCCGCAAUGGGCGAAAGCCUGACGGAGCAACGCCGCGUGAGUGAUGAAGGUCUUCGGAUCGUAAAACUCUGUUAUUAGGGAAGAACAAAUGUGUAAGUAACUAUGCACGUCUUGACGGUACCUAAUCAGAAAGCCACGGCUAACUACGUG
rnacentral:rRNA from 1 species